AACGAACGCUGGCGGCAUGCCUAACACAUGCAAGUCGAACGAGACCUUCGGGUCUAGUGGCGCACGGGUGCGUAACGCGUGGGAACCUGCCUUUAGGUUCGGAAUAACUCAGAGAAAUUUGAGCUAAUACCGGAUAAUGUCUUCGGACCAAAGAUUUAUCGCCUUUAGAUGGGCCCGCGUUGGAUUAGCUAGUUGGUGGGGUAAAGGCCUACCAAGGCGACGAUCCAUAGCUGGUCUGAGAGGAUGAUCAGCCACACUGGGACUGAGACACGGCCCAGACUCCUACGGGAGGCAGCAGUGGGGAAUAUUGGACAAUGGGCGAAAGCCUGAUCCAGCAAUGCCGCGUGAGUGAUGAAGGCCUUAGGGUUGUAAAGCUCUUUACCCGUAGAUGAUAAUGACAGUAUCGGGAGAAUAAAGCUCCGGCUAACUCCGUGCCAGCAGCCGCGGUAA
rnacentral:rRNA from 1 species